rnacentral:rRNA from 1 species
ACGUACGCUGGCGGCACGCCUAACACAUGCAAGUCGAACGAAGUAGCAAUACUUAGUGGCAGACGGGUGAGUAACAUGUAGGUAUCUGCCCUUUGGCCUGGAAUAACACGAGGAAACUUGUGCUAAUACCGGAUAAGUCUUUACGGAGAAAGCUUUAUGCACCAUUGGAUGAGCCUGCACUUGAUUAGUUUGUUGGUGGGGUAAUGGCCUACCAAGACUGUGAUCAAUAGCUGAUUUGAGAGGAUGAUCAGCCACAUUGGGACUGAGACACGGCCCAAACUCCUACGGGAGGCAGCAGUGGGGAAUCUUGCACAAUGGAGGAAACUCUGAUGCAGCGAUGCCGCGUGAGUGAAGAAGGCCUUUGGGUUGUAAAGCUCUUUCGUCGGGGAAGAAAAUGACUGUACCCGAAUAAGAAGGUCCGGCUAACUUCGUGCCAGCAGCCGCGGUAAUACGAAGGGACCUAGCGUAGUUCGGAAUUACUGGGCUUAAAGAGUUCGUAGGUGGUUGAAAAAGUUAGUGGUGAAAUCCCAGAGCUUAACUCUGGAACUGCCAUUAAAACUUUUCAGCUAGAGUAUGAUAGAGGAAAGCAGAAUUUCUAGUGUAGAGGUGAAAUUCGUAGAUAUUAGAAAGAAUACCAAUUGCGAAGGCAGCUUUCUGGAUCAUAACUGACACUGA